rnacentral:rRNA from 1 species
AGAGAUGGCUUGGUGCCCGAAAGGGAAUCGGAACACAGGUGCUGCAUGGCUGUCGUCAGCUCGUGUCGUGAGAUGUUGGGUUAAGUCCCGCAACGAGCGCAACCCUUAUCAUUAGUUGCUACGCAAGGGCACUCUAGUGAGACUGCCGGUGACAAACCGGAGGAAGGUGGGGAUGACGUCAAGUCCUCAUGGCCCUUAUGGGUAGGGCUUCACACGUCAUACAAUGGUCGGUACAGAGGGUUGCCAAGCCGCGAGGUGGAGCCAACUCCCUUAAAGCCGAUCGUAGUCCGGAUUGUUCUCUGCAACUCGAGAGCAUGAAGUCGGAAUCGCUAGUAAUCGCAGGUCAGCAUACUGCGGUGAAUACGUUCCCGGGUCUU